CAGUGGCGAACGGGUGAGUAACACGUGGGCAAUCUGCCCUGCACUCUGGGACAAGCCCUGGAAACGGGGUCUAAUACCGGAUACGACCUGCUCCUGCAUGGGGGUGGGUGGAAAGCUCCGGCGGUGCAGGAUGAGCCCGCGGCCUAUCAGCUUGUUGGUGGGGUAAUGGCCCACCAAGGCGACGACGGGUAGCCGGCCUGAGAGGGCGACCGGCCACACUGGGACUGAGACACGGCCCAGACUCCUACGGGAGGCAGCAGUGGGGAAUAUUGCACAAUGGGCGAAAGCCUGAUGCAGCGACGCCGCGUGAGGGAUGACGGCCUUCGGGUUGUAAACCUCUUUCAGCAGGGAAGAAGCGAAAGUGACGGUACCUGCAGAAGAAGCACCGGCUAACUACGUGCCAGCAGCCGCGGUAAUACGUAGGGUGCGAGCGUUGUCCGGAAUUAUUGGGCGUAAAGAGCUCGUAGGCGGCCUGUCGCGUCGGUUGUGAAAGCCCGGGGCUUAACCCCGGGUCUGCAGUCGAUACGGGCAGGCUAGAGUUCGGUAGGGGAGAUCGGAAUUCCUGG
rnacentral:rRNA from 1 species